GCUCCCGUGGUGUAGCGGCAACACGCGGCAUCAGCCGAGACGCGCGUUCGAACCGCGCCGGGAGCC
rnacentral:tRNA from 1 species